rnacentral:misc_RNA from 1 species
GUGAAUCAUCAAAUUUUUGAACGCAAAUUGCACUCUCUGGCAUUCCGGAGAGUAUGCCUGUUUGAGGGUCAGUAUAAUCAAAAUCGGGGCGAUGCCUUUUGGGUGAUGGACCGGAGUCUGGGUCAUCUUAACUUUUUUUUUUAUGAGAGAUAAAAUUAACAUUCUUUUUUGUUUAUUUUUGAGUCGUAUAUUAUUUUUUUUUAUUUGUCUAUCCUGGUGGCAAAAAUUUUAUUAGAAUGUGAAUCACGUAGAGUGGUUCCGCGAUAUUAAU